ACUCUUAAAUAUUUUCCUUUCAUACGAGGAGCCGUCUCUCUCUCUUGUCAUCUUCUCUCUCCUCUCUCUUUCUCUUGAAACUUCUCCAUCUUCCUCCUCCUUAUUUUUGCCACCAGUCAAGGGCUUUGACGCCCUUCCUCCUUCUUUCUUCCAUUCUUACGGUAUUACCCCCAUUGGAGAAUAGGUAAAAUGUUUUUAUUUAAUCUCCGAUUGUCAAUUUAAGAAUCAAGUGUUUUAGAAUUUUGGGUUUUAGCGAAGGAGGAAGAGGCAAGAGGGAACAUGACAGAGGAAAAGAAGAUGAUUCUUCGGGGUUCAGUGGGAAGCUCUUGAUCUAUUACUCAUAUUCAUAUCUACAUUGGGACUUCCUGUUUCAGCAAGAGCAUACAUCUAUACAUUGAUCUUUGAGGCAAGAAAGAUUGGGUUAGAUGUUGUUAAGGACAUAUGACCAACCCCAAUGAUAGCAAGGAACUGAAGUCUGAGAUGGCUUUUAGUGUACAAAACAGGAUACUAUUGUUUUGUACAAUGGAAAAGAAACUCUUAUUUCUAUCCAUGAGAGGAAGCGGUUUUAGGUAGCACAUGAAGGAAACUUAUGCUCAAAUGCUUUUGGCAGCAUCAGUAAUAAUGCAUCUGAAUGCAUAUCAGCAUCUGACAAAACUAAGUGUGUAAAACAAGUUCUAUUGAUGCUGCUGAAGACAGAGACACUGGUGACGAAGAAAUCAAGAAUGGCAGUGUUAAUCUUUUUAUUGUUGAGGAUAGAGAUAGAGAAAUGUCCGAGACAUCAUGUACCAGACAUGUUGUAUCAUGCUUUGAUGUUGGAAGUGUCUGCACUGAGGUGUCUGAGCAGUGUGAGAAUAACCCAGAAGUUGAUACUAUUGCCGUUGUUGAUGAGCAUGAAUUUCACUUGAAACAUGAUAAUAAAAGUGCUAUUUUGAAUAGUACCCCACAUAAGGAUAUUCUAUUCUGAUUGGAAAAGCUAUGUGAUAAUUAUUUUUUUCCAUUAAGUGAGACUUCUAAAACUCUUGAUUUAUGUAUAUACUUUUUCCAUUUUUAUGAGUUUACCUGUUUGUCGUGUUA